rnacentral:lncRNA from 1 species
GGCGGCGCCAACCCAAAGCACUAGCUCUGUAAAGCAGAGUCGUGCAGGAGUUCGUGGUGUAGCUCUGGAGUCGGGGGGUCCGGGUUGAAGUGCCAGCUCCACUCCCCCCCUUAUCACCGUGUGCAACUUCGUCUACUUUUCUGCACCUGGAUCUCUUCCCCUGUGAAGUGGGGAUGACAGCGAUCCGCGUCCUGUCGUCGUGGGGACGAGGGCUCAGGCCAGUAACCUAGCCACGCUCAGCUUCUGGCGACCGCUGCGGGGCACUACCAGUAUUUCAAGAGCCGGUGCCUUGAGUCUACACAGCUCAGAAGGCAGGUGGCCCAGCUCAGCUGAGGGUUCGGCUACAGGGUCACAGCAUUACCCCUGACCCGUCCUCAAGGCCUCCCACGGUCGGCCUUUGGCUGACCUCACCGACCUCUUCAAGCUCCCCUCAGACCACUUAUUAAAAGUAACUGAUGUAAGAAAUGGAGAAAGAAAAGAGCCCUCUGAUACUUUGCUGUAAGUAUUUCCAUAUUUUAUAUGUUCUUUCCAUAUUUUAUAUCCAUGAGUUUCUUCUCUUUUUAAAUAACAUUUUUUUUUCUUGGACCAUUUGACCGGGCUCCUCUUCUUUGCAACCAAAGAACCCAGACGGGAACAUUUCCUUCAAGUAAAUGGGUCAACCCCCCAGUACCCUCAUGCCCACUGCUAGGGCACAGGUGUCACACGGAUGACGUAUUGCGCAGGCGGGAUGCCGACGAGCCGUGAAGAGCAGAAGGCCGGGGUCCUUUUUCACGGUUCAAGAAGGAGAAGGAUGCUCUGGGAGGUAGCAGCAGCGGGCUAUCCACGUGCAAAAUCUGAGCAUCUUUUCUCAUGAGGGACUGAAGUAACUUGCUUCUUGUUGCAAAGAGGAAAAUCAGCUUCUCUUUUGAAGGAGUCUGUGUUUCGUCUGAAUGUAAACUAUGAUGACAUUUUCCAAUGGGAAGUGACGAUGCAGAACAGAUAUUCUUGCCACUUUUUUCCAGGUGAUUUAAUCUCCCACCCACCCCACCCCACCCCCAAAAAAAGGACACCUGAGUGGCUCAGCGGUUGAGCAUCUGCCUUUGGCUCAGGUCGUGACCCCAGGGUCCUGGGAUCCAGGCCCACAUCGGGCUCCCCACAUGGAGCCUGCUUCUCCCUCUGCUG